rnacentral:lncRNA from 1 species
CUUUAGCUUGUUUAUUAUCUGCGGUCAAAUAAAAGGAAAACCUAAAUCUCAAUUUACCUUUUUAUGAAAUUAGAAAAAUAAGUUAAAAAAAGUUGUUUUUAAUUUUGCCCCUUUAUUAUGGUGUACUGGAAGUAAAGGGAAGAAAUCAAAUCAAAUCAAAUCAUUUCUUCUUCUUCUUCUUCUUCUUCUUCUUCUUCUUCUUCUUCUUCUUCUUUUCUCUCAAAUUAAUUUUGCCCCUCUGUUAUGCUUGUUUCUUCUUCUUUAUUCUUCUUCUUCUCUCUCAAACUUCCUCAAACCUUCUCUACAAUUCUCUCAUCUCCGCCACCUGCUAACAACAAAGAUCACCGUCCCUAGCGACAUCACAAGGACCUCACGCUAAGUCAGCUGCCACCAGUAGCGACAAGUGAUCCCGUUCGUGGAG